AAGGAUUUAAGUUAAAAAAACUAUUAACCUUCAAAGUUAAAAAUAUUUACAAAAAAUAAGCCUUA
rnacentral:tRNA from 1 species